rnacentral:snRNA from 1 species
GUGCUCGCUUCGGCAGCACAUAUACUAAAACUGGAACGAUACAGAGAAAAUUAGCAUGGCCCCUGUGCAAGGAUGACACGCAAAUUCAUGAAGCGUUCCAUAUUAAA